rnacentral:rRNA from 1 species
GACGUAGGGCGCGAGCGUUGUCCGGAUUUAUUGGGCGUAAAGAGCUCGUAGGCGGCUUGUCGCGUCGAAUGUGAAAACUCGGGGCUCAACUCCGAGCUUGCAUUCGAUACGGGCAGGCUAGAGUUCGGUAGGGGAGACUGGAAUUCCUGGUGUAGCGGUGAAAUGCGCAGAUAUCAAGGAGGAACACCGGUGGCGAAGGCGGG